rnacentral:tRNA from 1 species
GGGCUCGUAGUCGAAUGGUAAGACGAUCGCUUGACGUGCGAUAGAUUCGGGGUUCGAUUCCCUGCGGGCCCA